GACAGAGGGUGCAAACGUUGUUCGGAAUUACUGGGCGUAAAGCGCGUGUAGGCGGCUAUGCAAGUCGGAUGUGAAAGCCCUCGGCUCAACCGGGGAAGUGCACCCGAAACUGCAAAGCUAGAGUCUCGGAGAGGAUCGUGGAAUUCUCGGUGUAGAGGUGAAAUUCGUAGAUAUCAAGCGGAACACCGGUGGCGAAGGCGGCCUUCUGGACAGUGACUGACGCUGAGACGCGAAAGCGUGGGGAGCAAACAGG
rnacentral:rRNA from 1 species